AGUGAACGCUGGCGGUAGGCCUAACACAUGCAAGUCGAACGGCAGCACAGUAAGAGCUUGCUCUUACGGGUGGCGAGUGGCGGACGGGUGAGGAAUACAUCGGAAUCUACUUUUUCGUGGGGAUAACGUAGGGAAACUUACGCUAAUACCGCAUACGACCUACGGGUGAAAGCAGGGGAUCUUCGGACCUUGUGCGAUUGAAUGAGCCGAUGUCGGAUUAGCUAGUUGGCGGGGUAAAGGCCCACCAAGGCGACGAUCCGUAGCUGGUCUGAGAGGAUGAUCAGCCAAACUGGAACUGAGACACGGUCCAGACUCCUACGGGAGGCAGCAGUGGGGAAUAUUGGACAAUGGGCGCAAGCCUGAUCCAGCCAUCCCGCGUGGGUGAAGAAGGCCUUCGGGUUGUAAAGCCCUUUUGUUGGGAAAGAAAAGCAGCAGGUUAAUACCCCGCUGUUCUGACGGUACCCAAAGAAUAAGCACCGGCUAACUUCGUG
rnacentral:rRNA from 1 species